CAGCCGCCGCGGGAAUACGGAGGGUGCAAGCGUUAAUCGGAAUUACUGGGCGUAAAGCGUGCGUAGGCGGUUCGUUAAGUCUGUUGUGAAAGCCCCGGGCUCAACCUGGGAAUGGCAAUGGAUACUGGCGAGCUAGAGUGUGUCAGAGGAUGGUGGAAUUCCCGGUGUAGCGGUGAAAUGCGUAGAGAUCGGGAGGAACAUCAGUGGCGAAGGCGGCCAUCUGGGACAACACUGACGCUGAAGCACGAAAGCGUGGGGAGCAAACAGGAUUAGAUACCCGCGUAGUCCCUGUCUCUUAUAC
rnacentral:rRNA from 1 species